CGAGCUCCCCUAUAAAUAAGGAGUUCUAGAUAUCCCUAGGACCUUUUUCUUACUUUUUGAAACCCUUCUUCUUUCUCAAGAGAGAGAAUUAGAGAGAAAAAGGGGUCUUUGGAGAGAGAGACAUUUUUAGUGAGAGAAAACACCAUUUUAGAGAGAAAAUCCAAAAUUUGAACGGGAUUUGGUCUGAUAUAGAUCAAGUAAUCUUCAUUAUUCUAUUCUCCAAUAAUCAAAUAGUAUUUGGGAGGGUUUUAGAUUGAGUUUUAGGAUUAAAUUCAGAUUAAAACUAAGCUAGAGCUCAUCCUUUGGUGUACUUGCCUCUUAAGCUUCCUCAAGUCCUUGGAAGAGCCAACAACCGCUGGUAUGUGAUUCUAAACGAUUUUUCAUUGACUUUGUGAUCAAUUUGUGGAUUGAUUACCGCUUGAUUGCUUUAUUUAGGUAGAAGAAUUGCUUAAGAGAUGAUUUCCCCAAUGUGGAGAGGAAUCCUCCCCCAAUAGCAUACAUGAUGUUAUUUGCUGUAAAUGAAUGGUUUUAAUCGUUGUUUGGCUAAAUUUUAGUCUAUAUAUGCUUAUCUAUUAAUCUGGAAAUGCUUAGAUUAAGAAUUCUUGAGCGUUUGGAUUGGAUUUUUAUUAUUUGUGUUCUUCUACUAUUUACUUGAUUUAGGAUGCUAGAUCUUAAUUUUCUAUUGUUUUUAAUUUUCUGGAGGCAUGUAUAAAUUUAUUUGGAUGAUUUUGAAUGUGUUUGGAUGAGCUUUGCCACUUUGAAAUGUCAAAAAACCGUUUUUGGGUCUGCCUGCUCUGUUUUUGUGCCGUCCUGCAGGUGACCUGUGCGCACAGGUCCAGACUUGCGUGCACAGGUCAUAAGUCCUGUGGACGAGGUCUGCACAGGUCUUCUGACCCUCGUGCACAGGUCCUGUUCUGGCUGAGUUGAAUUUCACCUGCAUUUGAUUCUUUCCGUUUACAUGCACUGUUUGGCUCUUUUCUGUUCAUAAUCCUUUUUCAUAUGUUUAUUCUCAUAUGUUCUUUGUUAUUUGGAUGAUUUUUACUCAUUAUAUUGUGGUUGAAUGACUAAAAUUACAUUAUGGAUGAACAUUUUAUAUUUUUAAUAAAUAUAUGAAUGAAUGCUUUUUAUGGAUGAAUGGAUGUGUUUGGUUUAUUUUUAUUCAUUUUGGAUUACUGUAAUUCAUAAUUUCCAGGGGUGAUUAAUCAUUUCUAAGUUGUAAUUCAUAUUUGUAAAGAUAGAUAAUUUAUGUAAUAUUUCUCUCUUUUUGUUUAUUUUCUUUUAUUAAUCAGUUUGUAAUGCCUAAUCCCGUUGUCCCCUUUUUUAUUUGGUCUUGUAAUUUCUAUUCUCCUCCCUCCUUUCUAUGGAUGCUUUUAUUAUGUGAUUUAUGAUAUGACCUUG
rnacentral:misc_RNA from 1 species